GUCACUACUCUGAGGAGGGGGAUCACAGCUCAAACAACUCAUGAACUGUCUCAGAUUAACCUGAUUUUGUGAAGAAUACCACAUUCCAUUGACAUAUCAAAUGCAAGCUAGAAGUGCUUUGUUCGUUUAGCAACCCAGAUUCCUGCAGUUUAUGGGAAGAUAUCCAACACUAUGGGGCCUUGAAAUCAUGCUGGAGAUUGCUCUCUCUGAUAAGUCUGAGGAUCAGCUACAGAUAGUUCUUUUGCCCACUCCUCCCUCUCAUCUGACAAGGAAGGAAAAAGAGAAAAAAAAAGAGGAAAAAAAAAGAGAAAAAGAGAAAUAGAGAAAUGGAGUAAAAGAGAAAAGAAAAAAGGAAAAAAAAGGAAAAAAAAAGAAAAAAAAGAGCCAAAGAAGCCAAAUCUUCUACAAACGUUCACUCUUCACACAGGAUAAAAACUGAAGGGAAUUGUUUAGCAAGAAAACUGCAAAUGCUUCCCAAGGACCUACAGAUCAUCUCUGCUAUAUCCUUUGUUACAACAGUUCCAAGUUUAUACUGUCCACUAUAUUUGGACAGUAAAAUAAAUACAAACUCUAUGUAUGUCAACUGAUUUCAGAGCUCAUCUUGCAAGGCAACAGUAUCUUGCUGAAUUUUGUGCUGUUUAGUCUCCCUUGAACUCAGCUAAGUGCUCUGGGUAAAUAAAUACUAAAAGAGAGGCUAGUAUUUGGCCAAACUGAAGGCGAUGGGAAAGCUGCCACCCACUUCAAUGAGGCCACGGUUUCACCGCAAAUAUCUUAACUGCCCACACACGCAUAAUGAUGCACACAAAUCUCAGCGUCUGGCCUGCCCCACGGGUAUACCUGCUGCAGGCUGCUUGUUUGUAAACAGACUCGGAGCAGCAUCACCUACAGCGGUUUUCAUUAAGCACAUCAGCAACAGACCAUUAUCACUCCCACAUGCAAGAGGUAUUGGUGUACAGCAACGUACCCAGAACGUCCAGCUGAUGACUCAUUUUUGUAUUCUCUGCAAACAGCACUGCAUGGCUGACAGUCAAUACAUAAAGCCUAGUUAUAGUGGAGUGAGAGUGCUCAAAAUACAAUCUCCAGAAGAGGGAGGAGUUACAGAUGCUAGAUGAGAAGUGGAAUCUCUGAUAUUUGUUGCAGAGGGAGAAUUCUGUGAAAUACAUUAACUACAACAGCAUGAAGCCAUGUGAAUACAGCCGAGCUGUCCCAAAACCACAACCCUGGCACUUCCAGGGAAGUGUCCUGCUGGCACCAGCCAGAAACAGUGGCCCCUGGAAGCCUCUGAUGCAGGCCAGCCCUCUGGGUACGACAACAGCAGGGGAGAGAAAUCCACCCCAGGCACUCCUCUCUUAAACCUAGAUGGAAUUUUGAUCAGUGUUUCAGUGUAAAUGUACACUUCACCAAAACACACUUCCACUCUGAAUAGCUUGAAGAAGAAAUUAGUUUUCAGGCAUAUAUAGCACCAAGUUAAUUCUUUCAAGGAAAAAAAUGGUUCUAGUGGUAAUUUGUUCUGAAAAGUGCUCGUAUGCUCAAUUUACACCACUGAGAAAUGCAGAAUCAAUCCUUCUUAUAUAUUACUGCUGUUUAGUAAUUGCCUCCUGAGAUAAUCCAGCAGUUAUUUUCCUUCCAGACAUUUUAAACCAGCUGCCCAGAUAUUGCAAUUUCAUACUGGAGCCCUCUGUGCAGGCUGUGGCAAAUAGGCUGAUGUUCUGGAUAAUGAAAAAGCUCCUUGGUACUUGCUCUAUCAAGACUACCUUGGUCACAACAGACAAAAAUUAAUCCUCUGCCCUUUUCAUUCUGGGAACUUGUUAUGAGUUUAACUCCUUACCUGUCAGGAAGAAUUAUUAUGCUAACCUCCUCACAAUAUUUUUUUGUGUGAAUAAGUGCUUUUUGAUCAUAGCUAGGCAAGAUAUUUGUGUUAAAAUACUGUAGGUUUUAUAAAGCUGUCUAUAAAAUGGGACAAGAAAAUGAAAGUAGA
ensembl:lncRNA